rnacentral:rRNA from 1 species
AUUGAACGCUGGCGGCAGGCCUAACACAUGCAAGUCGAGCGAGAAAGGUCUUCGGACUGAGUACAGCGGCGGACGGGUGAGUAAUGCGCAGGAAUCUACCUGGUAGUGGGGGAUAACUCGGGGAAACUCGAACUAAUACCGCAUACGCCUACGGGGAAAGGACGGGGACCGUUCGGGCCGUCGCGCUAUCAGAUGAGCCUGCGUAGGAUUAGCUUGUUGGUGAGGUAAAGGCUCACCAAGGCGACGAUCCUUAGCUGGUCUGAGAGGAUGAUCAGCCACACUGGAACUGAGACACGGUCCAGACUCCUACGGGAGGCAGCAGUGGGGAAGUAUUGCGCAAUGGGCGAAAGCCUGACGCAGCCAUGCCGCGUGUGUGAAGAAGGCCCUUGGGUUGUAAAGCACUUUCAAUUGG